rnacentral:rRNA from 1 species
AGCCUACGGGACGCAGCAGUGGGGAAUAUUGCACAAUGGGGGAAACCCUGAUGCAGCGACGCCGCGUGAGCGAAGAAGUAUUUCGGUAUGUAAAGCUCUAUCAGCAGGGAAGAAAAUGACGGUACCUGACUAAGAAGCCCCGGCUAAAUACGUGCCAGCAGCCGCGGUAAUACGUAUGGGGCAAGCGUUAUCCGGAUUUACUGGGUGUAAAGGGUGCGCAGGCGGAUUUUUAAGUCAGCGGUCAAAUCGUGGGGCUCAACCCCAUCCAGCCGUUGAAACUGGGGAUCUAGAGUGUGCGAGAGGUA